AUUGAACGCUGGCGGCAGGCCUAACACCUGCAAGUCGAACGAGUGGCGGACGGGUGAGUAAUGUCUGGGAAACUGCCUGAUGGAGGGGGAUAAAUACUGGAAACGGUAGCUAAUACCGCAUACCAUCGGAUGUGCCCAGAUGGGAUUUGCUAGUAGGUGGGGUAAAGGCACACCUAGGCGACGCUCCCUAGCUGGUCUGAGAGGAUGACCAGGCACACUGGAACGGAGACACGGUCCAUACUCCUACGGGAGGCAUCAGUGGGGAAGAUGGCGCCAUGUGCGCAAGCGUGAUGCAGCCAUGCCGCGUGUAUGAAGAAGGCCUUUGGGUUGUAAAGUACUUUCAGCGGGGAGGCGUUACCCGCAGAAGAAGCACCGGCUAACUCCGUGCCAGCCGCCGCGGUAAUAC
rnacentral:rRNA from 1 species